UAGCGCGUGAGGAACCUGCCUCAAAGAGGGGGACAACAGUUGGAAACGACUGCUAAUACCGCAUAAGCCCACGGCUCGGCAUCGAGCAGAGGGAAAAGGAGUGAUCCGCUUUGAGAUGGCCUCGCGUCCGAUUAGCUAGUUGGUGAGGUAAUGGCCCACCAAGGCGACGAUCGGUAGCCGGACUGAGAGGUUGACCGGCCACAUUGGGACUGAGAUACGGCCCAG
rnacentral:rRNA from 1 species